ACAACGGUUUCGGGGGCUUUGGUACAGGCAGGCCGGGGUUCCCCUCUUUACACCAGGGCGCCGUUGCAGACGGGCCUUUUUUUCAGGGGCAGCGGUACAGGCAGGCUGCUGCUCCUUCUUUACACCGGGCCAGGCGCCAUGCCGAAGCCCGCCCCUUUCGGGGACCUUGGUACAGGCAGGCCGGGGCUUCCCUCUUUUAUUC
rnacentral:ncRNA from 1 species